rnacentral:lncRNA from 1 species
ACCUCAUUAAGGAAGCAUUUGGAAUUAUAUGAGUGCUGAUAAAUUUCAAAUUGUGUAAUUUAAGGAGAAACUACAACCGAAUUGUACCUUAAACAGAAAUUGGCUCUGUUUGCAUUCACAGGCAGUUUACAAGAAGCAGGAAAUACUCCCCAUUUAUCAGCUUGCCUGGGUUUCAUCAUGUGGUAAAUGCAAGAAAGACUCUGUAGACUAGUUGAUCAUGCUUAACAGACCUCAGUUUUUCAGUGGCCUUUGACCCACCAGAAGUAGUAUUUUGACCUGAUCCAGCAUCAGGUCAUUCAAGGUGGCCCAGUGUUUUGUUGGUUCGAAUCCUGGGCACGGACAUGGCACUGCUCAUCAAACCAUGCUGAGGCAGCAUCCCACAUGCUACAACUAGAAGGACCCACAACGAAGAAUGUGCAACUAUGUACUGGGGGGCUUUGUGGAGAAAAAG